rnacentral:rRNA from 1 species
CCUACGGGCGGCAGCAGUGAGGAAUAUUGGUCAAUGGGCGCUAGCCUGAACCAGCCAAGUAGCGUGAAGGAUGACGGCCCUCUGGGUUGUAAACUUCUUUUAUAUGGGAAUAAAGUGUAGCAGGUAUACUCCUUUGCAUGUACCCUAUGAACAAGGAUGGGCUAACUCCGUGCCAGCAGCGGCGGUAAUACGGAGGAUCCGCGCGUUAUCCGGAUUUAGUGGGUUUAAAGGGAGCGUAGGCGGGUUGUUAAGUCAGUUGUGAAAGUUUGCGGCUCAACCGUGGAAUUGCAGUUGAUACUGGCAUCCUUGAGUACAGUAGAGGUAGGCGGAAUUCGUGGUGUAGCGGUGAAAUGCUUAGAUAUCACGAAGAACUCCGAUUGCGAAGGCAGCCUGCUGGACUGCAACUGACGCUGAGGCUCGAAAGUGUGGGUAUCAAACAGGAUUAGAUACCCGAGUAGUC